ACAAUGCGGAACUUUUAGUUUUGCAAUUGGAUUGAGAACAAUGUACAAAUGUUAUCGAUAAACAAUUGGAGGGCAAGUCUGGUGCCAGCAGCCGCGGUAAUUCCAGCUCCAAUAGCGUAUAUUAACGUUGUUGCAGUUAAAAAGCUCGUAGUUGAAAUGUGGGAUGAAGUAUAUAAUGAAUUUCUAAUUCAAUUCUAUAUUGAUUCCCCUCUCCAAUUUAUUAUUAUGGGUAUUAAUUUAUUUGUAAUAAGAAUUGGUCAUUUACUGUGAGAAAAUUAGAGUGUUCAAAGCAGGCAUUUGCUUGAAUAGAUUAGCAUGGAAUAAUACUAAAAGGCUUUUAUGGUCGAUUUAAUUGGUUUGUUCAUAAAAGCAAGAUUAAAAGGAACAGUUGGGGGUAUUCAUAUUCAAUAGUUAGAGGUGAAAUUCUCGGAUUUAUGGAA
rnacentral:rRNA from 1 species